rnacentral:lncRNA from 1 species
CCCUAUCCAUCAGCCAUCCUGUCCUGUCCUGACCAUCAGAGUCCACCCAGUGUGAGGGGCUCAGGCUGCAUCCCUGAAGAACAUCAAGGGCAUCACGGAUAUAGUCAUCAAGCCAGCAGAUGGCUGGAGCCUUUGUUGGGGUGACACAGAUUCCUUUAGACCUGCUAAUCACUGCAUUUCAGGAGGGCUUCAUGGAGGUGGUGACUGUGAGCCUGAUCCACGGAGAACCGAAGGAACUCCCUUUGGUGAAGAGGGGCCAAACACUGCAGGGGAGUAUGGAGUCAUCCAGUGUCAUGCAGAGGCGCCUAGUGAGCCAGACCACUUUCAGGCCUGUGCCAUGCCUGGGAGUGAGUGGUCACCUUAGAGAGAUCCAGUGUGAGUUGACAGGAGAAAGUCCUUGGCAGGAGCCAGGGGGUGGGCAGUGGGAUGCCUGGAGUCAGAGCAUCUACUUUCUGAUGAAGCAGCAUUGAAGAGAAGGUGCCUUUCACCAUGGCUCUGAGAAACCUUGUGCAGAUGGCUAUGCUGGCUUCUUCUAUCUCUGCUCCUGCAAACAGCUAUUGUGCCUCCUCUACCACUGAUUCUCUAAGCUUACCUCUGUACUUUGAGUCUUUUUCUUACAGGACCCGAACUAAUACACUCCUCAUGAUCAUUUUGAAUGAGGGAGAGUCAGAAGCUGCUCCUGGUCUGGAAAAUACAGUAGAUGAAGACACAUCACACUGAUUUCAACUGAUUUCCUGAGCCUCCUUAUUGGAGGAUAGCGUUCACCAUGGUCAUGAUCUCACCUCCUAAGACACUCAUGAAAGAGGACUUCCAGAGCUGCUUCAGAA